rnacentral:rRNA from 1 species
GACGAACGCUGGCGGCGUGCUUAACACAUGCAAGUCGAACGGAAAGGCCUCUUUCGGGGGGUACUCGAGUGGCGAACGGGUGAGUAACACGUGAGUAACCUGCCCUUGACUUUGGGAUAACUUCAGGAAACUGGGGCUAAUACCGGAUAGGAGCUCCUGCUGCAUGGUGGGGGUUGGAAAGUUUCGGCGGUUGGGGAUGGACUCGCGGCGUAUCAGCUUGUUGGUGGGGUAGUGGCUUACCAAGGCUUUGACGGGUAGCCGGCCUGAGAGGGUGACCGGCCACAUUGGGACUGAGAUACGGCCCAGACUCCUACGGGAGGCAGCAGUGGGGAAUAUUGCCCGAUGGGUGGAAGCCUGAUGCAGCAACGCCGUGUGCGGGAUGACGGCCUUCGGGUUGUAAACCGCUUUCGCUCAUGACGAAGCUUUGUGUGACGGUAGUGGGUAAAGAAGCACCGGCUAACUACGUG